GCCUAAGCGCAGUCGGUAGAGCAUCAGACUUUUAAUCUGAGGGUCGGCGGUUCGAGUCCGCCGUUGGGCG
rnacentral:tRNA from 1 species